GGCAGCGGGAGAAGUGGCGGGCGAGCAGCCCGCAGGCCACGGCCGCAUCCCCCGCCCCGCUCCGUCGCUCCCAUCGGAAGGCUGUAAUGCCUCCCCUCCCCCGUUUCCCUGUGCGUGCGCUGUUACGGGUUUGGGGGCUGCCGGCACCGCCGCACCGCCCGCGGGAGAGCCGUGCAGCUCCCCUGCACGGAGCCCAGAGCCCGGCCGUGCGAAGCUACGGCGGGGAAAGACGGAGCUGGUAUGAAAAGCCGUGCAAACGUGCGUUGGGCACUGGGACACUGUUAUUUCUGUUCUUGGGGGACUUUAUGCGGCGUGGGUUUUCCUCCUGCGCACACGGUUUAAACUGAUCCCACAUAGCGAUAGGCACAUUCUGUUGGCUUAUACUGUUCUGUUCGGUGGGGAGCUGGAAAAGAGUUAAAUCCGGCGGUGUCAGAGAUGGAGCUGCUCCCUCCAAAUGCGACAUAACGCUUUCCUUACAUGUCUAUCCUCAACACACUAUGAGCUACAAAGGAUAAAGCCUCCAGGGAGGCGCACGGAGCCUUCCUGUAUGCAUGUGGUGUCUCUAAACUUAUCCCUCGUACACACUCAGUUCGACCUGCUGGCAGAUGGGCAAAGCAGUUGCUCACGUAAACCGCCCGGCAGCAUGUUUCCCCUAGUUUCUGCUGUAAGACUGCCUGGUGGACAGCAAGGCUCAUAGGUGAGAGGUGCGCCCUUUGGGCUCCGUGCAAGGUGAGAGCUGUGUGGUGCUCCCCACAGCCUCAGCACAAAGCACAAAAGAAAGAAAAGUAAUGUCAGAACUCAGAGUUUGCUGUGGUGCUGGGGCCACAUUCUGCAGCACCGCACUACCGCGCAGAUUCUGCCUUGGUAAACCUCUCUUCAAGCUGAACUGCAGUCAGACAAACUGCUCCCACGAGUGCAGCGAGCACAGCUCUUGACAGCUCGGUGCAUCCGUCCCACACGCUCUGCUUCAGGCUCUGCCACUGUCUUACCACCAUCACCCCUUGGAGCUGUGAAGGGUUAAUGCCAGCAGGUGUUGGAAGCGAUGCCCCACACCUCAGCUCCCGCAUUUCGUCCACGUUCUGACAUAAAACAUGAAGGUCGGUGAUCAUGAGAGCAGGUUCCAACACAUGAAACCCUCGGUAACAAACACACCUCUUCCACCUGUAGAACAACACGAGAUCCGUGCUUAAAAUACAUCAGCGUUCGGUGCGGACACUUAGAUGGAACUGCAGACACUGUUCUGAGCAGAGCUGAGAAAGGCAAAGGGAGUCCCCGUAACUCCAAUGAAGCGUUCUCAGAAACAGAACGUUGCAGUAUCUUUGCGAAAAAGUGCUUGCGUGAUACAUUCUGCGCUUCAAGUUAAAAUAAAGCAGAUCAAGAAGAUGUCAAUGUCAAUCGCUUUGUAUUCACCACAACAGAACGGGAGAGAACCUAAUAAAGGCAAAAAUAUUUUCAUAAA